AAUGAACGCUGGCGGCAUGCCUUACACAUGCAAGUCGAACGUGAAAGCGGGGCAACCCGCAAGUAGAGUGGCGGACGGGUGAGUAAUACAUCGGAACGUGUCCAGUAAUGGGGGAUAACCUAGCGAAAGUUAGGCUAAUACCGCAUACGAUCUGCGGAUGAAAGCGGGGGAUGCGGCACUAAAGGCUUUUGGCGAAGGUGGCCAAAGGUGAGUCAAGAGCUUUUAGUGCNGCACCUCGCGUUAUUGGAGCGGCUGAUGUCUGAUUAGCUAGUUGGUGAGGUAAAGGCUUACCAAGGCGACGAUCAGUAGCUGGUCUGAGAGGACGGCCAGCCACACUGGGACUGAGACACGGCCCAGACUCCUACGGGAGGCAGCAGUGGGGGAAUC
rnacentral:rRNA from 1 species